GAUGAACGCUGGCGGCGUGCCUAAUACAUGCAAGUCGAGCGAACAGAUAAGGAGCUUGCUCCUUUGACGUUAGCGGCGGACGGGUGAGUAACACGUGGGUAACCUACCUAUAAGACUGGAAUAACUCCGGGAAACCGGGGCUAAUGCCGGAUAACAUUUAGAACCGCAUGGUUCUAAAGUGAAAGAUGGUUUUGCUAUCACUUAUAGAUGGACCCGCGCCGUAUUAGCUAGUUGGUAAGGUAACGGCUUACCAAGGCAACGAUACGUAGCCGACCUGAGAGGGUGAUCGGCCACACUGGAACUGAGACACGGUCCAGACUCCUACGGGAGGCAGCAGUAGGGAAUCUUCCGCAAUGGGCGAAAGCCUGACGGAGCAACGCCGCGUGAGUGAUGAAGGUCUUCGGAUCGUAAAACUCUGUUAUUAGGGAAGAACAAAUGUGUAAGUAACGGUGCACGUCUUGACGGUACCUAAGCAGAAAGCCACGGCUAACUACGU
rnacentral:rRNA from 1 species